CAGUAGCCGCGGUAACACGUAGGGUGCAAGCGUUAAUCGGAAUUACUGGGCGUAAAGCGUGCGCAGGCGGUUAUAUAAGUCAGAUGUGAAAUCCCCGGGCUCAACCUGGGAACUGCAUUUGAGACUGUAUGGCUAGAGUGUGUCAGAGGGGGGUAGAAUUCCACGUGUAGCAGUGAAAUGCGUAGAUAUGUGGAGGAAUACCGAUGGCGAAGGCAGCCCCCUGGGAUAACACUGACGCUCAUGCACGAAAGCGUGGGGAGCAAACAGGAUUAGAUACCCGCGUAGUCCCUGUCUCUUAUAC
rnacentral:rRNA from 1 species